rnacentral:rRNA from 1 species
AACCUCCGCAAUGUGAGAAAUCGCGACGGGGGGAUCCCAAGUGCCAUUCUUAACGGGAUGGCUUUUCAUUAGUGUAAAGAGCUUUUGGAAUAAGAGCUGGGCAAGACCGGUGCCAGCCGCCGCGGUAACACCGGCAGCUCUAGUGGUAGCAAUUUUUAUUGGGCCUAAAGCGUCCGUAGCCGGUUUAAUAAGUCUCUGGUGAAAUCCUGCAGCUUAACUGUGGGAAUUGCUGGAGAUACUAUUAGACUUGAGAUCGGGAGAGGUUAGAGGUACUCCCAGGGUAGAGGUGAAAUUCUGUAAUCCUGGGAGGACCACCUGUGGCGAAGGCGGCUAACUGGAACGAACCUGACGGUGAGGGACGAAAGCUAGGGGCGCGAACCGGAUUAGAUACCCGGGUAGUCCUAACUGUAAACGAUGCGGACUUGGUGUUGGGGUGGUUUUGAGCUGCUUCAGUGCCGAAGGGAAGCUGUUAAGUCCGCCGCCUGGGAAGUACGGUCGCAAGACUGAAACUUAAAGGAAUU